rnacentral:rRNA from 1 species
GAUGAACGCUAGCGAUAGGCUUAACACAUGCAAGUCGAGGGGCAGCAUGGUCUUAGCUUGCUAAGACUGAUGGCGACCGGCGCACGGGUGCGUAACGCGUAUGCAACUUGCCUCACAGAGGGGGAUAACCCGUCGAAAGACGGACUAAUACCGCGUACACUCCAUCUUGGGCAUCCAAGGUAGAGGAAAUGAAAUUCGCUGUGAGAUAGGCAUGCGUCCCAUUAGCUAGUUGGUGAGGUAACGGCUCACCAAGGCGACGAUGGGUAGGGGAACUGAGAGGUUGAACCCCCACACUGGUACUGAGACACGGACCAGACGCCUACGGGAGGCAGCAGUGAGGAAUAGUGGUCAAUGGGCGAGAGCCUGAACCAGCCAAGUCGCGUGAAGGAUGACUGUCUUAUGGAUUGUAAACUUCUUUUAUACGGGAAUAACAAGAGUCACGUGUGACUCCCUGCAUGUACCGUAUGAAUAAGCAUCGGCUAACUCCGUG